GAUGAACGCUGGCGGCGUGCCUAAUACAUGCAAGUCGAGCGAAUGGAUUAAGAGCUUGCUCUUAUGAAGUUAGCGGCGGACGGGUGAGUAACACGUGGGUAACCUGCCCAUAAGACUGGGAUAACUCCGGGAAACCGGGGCUAAUACCGGAUAACAUUUUGAACAGCAUGGUUCGAAAUUGAAAGGCGGCUUCGGCUGUCACUUAUGGAUGGACCCGCGUCGCAUUAGCUAGUUGGUGAGGUAACGGCUCACCAAGGCGACGACGGGUAGCCGGCCUGAGAGGGUGACCGGCCACACUGGGACUGAGACACGGCCCAGACUCCUACGGGAGGCAGCAGUGGGGAAUCUUCCGCAAUGGACGAAAGUCUGACGGAGCAACGCCGCGUGAGUGAUGAAGGCUUUCGGGUCGUAAAACUCUGUUGUUAGGGAAGAACAAGUGCUAGUUGAAUAAGCUGGCACCUUGACGGUACCUAACCAGAAAGCCACGGCUAACUACGUGCCAGCAGCCGCCGUAA
rnacentral:rRNA from 1 species